rnacentral:rRNA from 1 species
GACGAACGCUGGCGGCGUGCCUAAUACAUGCAUGUCGAGCGGACAGAAGGGAGCUUGCUCCCGGAAGUUAGCGGCGGACGGGUGAGUAACACGUGGGCAACCUACCCUGUAGAUCGGGAUAACAUCGAGAAAUCGGUGCUAAUACCGGAUAAUCAUUUGAAGUGCAUGCUUCGAGUGUAAAAGAUGGCUCCGGCUAUCACUACGGGAUGGGCCCGCGGCGCAUUAGCUAGUUGGUAAGGUAAUGGCUUACCAAGGCAACGAUGCGUAGCCGACCUGAGAGGGUGAUCGGCCACACUGGGACUGAGACACGGCCCAGACUCCUACGGGAGGCAGCAGUAGGGAAUCUUCCGCAAUGGACGAAAGUCUGACGGAGCAACGCCGCGUGAGUGAUGAAGGUUUUCGGAUCGUAAAGCUCUGUUGUUAGGGAAGAACAAGUGCCGUUUGAAUAAGGCGGCACCUAGACGGUACCUAACCAGAAAGCCACGGCUAACUACGUGCCAGCAGCCGCAGUAACAC